ACGGGAGGCAGCAGUGGGGAAUAUUGCACAAUGGAGGAAGCUCUGAUGCAGCGACGCCGCGUGAGUGAUGAAGUAUUUCGGUAUGUAAAGCUCUAUCAGUAGGGAAGAUAAUGACGGUACCUAACUAAGAAGCACCGGCUAAAUACGUGCCAGCAGCCGCGGUAAUACGUAUGGUGCAAGCGUUAUCCGGAUUUACUGGGUGUAAAGGGAGCGUAGGUGGUUUGGUAAGCCAGAAGUGAAAACCCGGGGCUCAACCCCGUGGAUUGCUUUUGGAACUGUUGAACUAGAGUGCAGGAGGGGUAAGUGGAAUUCCCAGUGUAGCGGUGAAAUGCGUAGAUAUUGGGAAGAACACCGGUGGCGAAGGCGGCUUACUGGACUGUAACUGACACUGAGGCUCGAAAGCGUGGGGAGCAAACAGGAUUAGAUACCCUGGUA
rnacentral:rRNA from 1 species